CUGCUUUGUUUCCAGAUGGCUCUUUUCCAAGAAGCUUGGUAACAAAACCUUCUUUAUUUCAUAUUGGACUUUAUUAUCUUUUUACCUUGUUCACAUACCAGCUUUACAACUACCGGAGUCAACUCAACCAACCUGCUUUAUUCAUACUGGACUUUGUUACCUUUUUACUUUUCUUGGAAACCCCUUUUACUCCAACUGAAUUCAACCCAACCUACCUGGAUAAUACUGACUAUCCUAACAAUUUGGUUCUAUCCUGAAUAACCCUGCUGCAAUUAUCUGAUGACUGCAUUACUGCCUCCAACCAAAAGACUCUGAAUAACUCUGAAAAUGUCUAUUAAACCUGAAUUCAUUAUAUCUUCAUAUUUUAUUUC